GACGAACGCUGGCGGCGUGCCUAACACAUGCAAGUCGAACGGAAAGGCCCUGCUUUUGUUGGGUGCUCGAGUGGCGAACGGGUGAGUAACACGUGAGUAACCUGCCCCUGACUUUGGGAUAACUUCAGGAAACUGGGGCUAAUACCGGAUAGGAGCUCCUGCUGCACGGGGGGGGUUGGAAAGUUUCGGCGGUUGGGGAUGGACUCGCGGCUUAUCAGCUUGUUGGUGGGGUAGUGGCUUACCAAGGCUUUGACGGGUAGCCGGCCUGGGAGGGUGACCGGCCACAUUGGGACUGAGAUACGGCCCAGACUCCUACGGGAGGCAGCAGUGGGGAAUAUUGCACAGUGGGCGGGAGCCUGAUGCAGCAGCGCCGCGUGCGGGAUAACGGCCUUCGGGUUGUGAACCGCUUUCGCCUGUGACGAAGCGUGAGUGACGGUAAUGGGUAAGGAAGCACCGGCUAACUACGUG
rnacentral:rRNA from 1 species